CUGUCUCUGUCUCUGUCUGUCUGUCCCUCUUUUUCUCUCUCUGUCUCCCUCUCCCCCUCACCCCAAAGCAGCUUGAUGAUUUUUGGCAAAGACUGCAAUAAGAAAAGGGCACCAGAUGAAGCAGAGCUACAAAGAAACUCAAGAGAAACAGAAGUAAGAUCCUCCAUCCAGGAAUUGCAAAUAUUUCACCGAUGGAAGGAUGAAAGGGAGUGUGGACAGUUUUGCUAAUGGAAAUUGCAGAAAAAAAGGAUAGUUGGGAAAGAGAUACAAAAAAGAAGCUCCAGAGAAAAGGCACUUAAAGAUGACCUAAAUGGCCCAUUUCCUAGCAUCUAAUUUGCAUGUGACUGAUAAGAAGAUUCUGUAGUUAAUGGUUGGGAAACUCAUGGUUUAGCACGGAUGCAUAUUGUCUAGCUAUGGUGUAGCUAGCAGAAAUGAGAAAGGCUUGGCCUCUGCCACUUCACACUGCUUGGAAGAAGAAAGGAUGCUGCCUGAUGGAGCCAAUUGGAGAAGUAAAGCUUUAGUUUUCUCUGCACUGAAAUGUAUUUGCCUGAGAGGCAGGAAUCCCUCAGAACACAGCAAAGGGAGCACACCUGGAAAAGCUCUGAAGAUCACAGGCUUAGGGUUUUUGCUUUUGCUGAAAGAGCAUAGCAAUACUUGGGUAGCUCAGAAUUAAAGUUUAAUAAAUGGAGCUGUCAGUGGAGAUAGACGUCUGGACAAAAGCUCUCCAGUGACCCUUGCAAUGCACAAAGAACUUUUUUUCUCCAAUGAAUCCCUGAAAACGAUAGGAAAUUCCAAAAAGAGCUCCAAAUUCAUCUAAUGAUAAAACAAAAAGAAUCCUCCAUCUGUUGUCUGCUGUCAUUGCCAGUCAUCUACUAUGAAACAGUUCAUAUGUGCUGCUUGCCUUGCUGGUGGAAGUUCCUUACUCUCAGCUGUUCUUCUACCUGACUGUAGACCAGCUUCCGGAAAAUUCCCUUUGCUGCAUCCUUAGGUGACUGCGUAUCAGAUCUGAGGUAGACAUUUCCAGUCUUAGAGGCCACUUUAUGAAUUUGAGAGACCUGGAGAUCCUGGCUCCUCAGUGAGGUGUCCACUCUACACACACUACAGUGCUUCUUGGAGGAAAGGAUAACCACUUGCUGGGGAAAUAAGGCCUGACUUGUCAGAAAACAGACUUGGUAGGUAUUGCUUGGACAAUGAAGAGUUUGGUGAAAUGUAAAAUGUUUAUUCAGCGGUCUCAUAAACUGAUUCAUAUCCUCUCAAGGGAGUAUAACAGUAGUUAUAUUAUGACAUUCUGUUUUAAGUCUUUAUGUUUUCCUUCCUUCCUUCCUCCCUCCCUCCCUCUUUCUUUCUCUUUUAAGAAUUUCUUUAAUAAAUAGCCAUCCUACACAUGAUCAAUGUAUACACUAAAUACUUUUCUACUCCCCUUUGGGGAGACAAAAGACAUGAGCCUAAAUCUAAGUGUUAAGUAAUUCUUCUCUAGGACUGAGGUGGUGGUGUGAAGAGUCAAAGAUUUUAAAAAAUAAUUUAACUCCUUCCUUCAGAAGUCAGAUCUCCUAUGAUUGAACCCAGUUUAGAUGCAUUCAUGGGUUCAUAACUGAGAGGGACCCCUUAGAAGUAGAAAGGGUGCUCUGAUCCUCCAUCUUUGGUCCAGCAGCAGCAGUUGUUAUUGUUAUACCAAAGCCCACCUUUUAAAUCCCAACAUUCUUCGGGUGGUAUUGUAUAGUUGUGAGACAUGGAGCAGAACAGUCUCUGAAGAAGUGAAAAUAAAUAUCACACAGAUGGCCAUGGAAAAGGUCAUGGGGUGUGAAUGUGGAGUAAACAGGCUCCAACCUAUGAGGAACUUUGAAGAACAAGAAUGAAACAUGUUGCUAAAGAAAAGUAUGGUAGGGAAAAAAGGUGGCCUGGCCAGAUGGUGAAGGCUAGUAACAGUAGUAGACAAUGUGAGUGUUCUACUUUUAUUCAUGUGGUGCUAACAGAAACUGAGGAAGGAUUCCAAAACAUUGGAUAAACACUCUGUGGUGAAAUUAUGGGCGGUAAUGGACAAGAAUCUCAUUGCAGGCAUGAAUGGGUUGCAAUCUAUAUCACUGUAAAGAACAUCCAUAUCAAUGAGAUGACAGAUCCAUGUGACUAUUUGAGUAUAUACUACAUAGAUAGAAAAAAAAUGAAUUUAACAACAAGUUUGAUUUUGGGAGAAUGUUUUAUAGAAUUUCUACAAAAGUCCUACUCAAUGACUUAUUGUGGUAUGGAGGUGACUUUGGAUUCUCAAAGGUCAUGUUAAUGAAAUACAAGCUCUGGUAAGGCGGGAAAAGCUUCUAGUCUGGUUCUGGUUUAUUACCAGUAAGUUACCCUCUAAGUGAUAAAAUCUUUGAUCAUUGCAAUGAGAAAAAUUACAAAAUGGCCCUCAGUUGGGUGUAGCCCAUUUAUGCUUUUCUGGUGACAUUGGCAAAUAUGAUGGAAAGGCAGGGCAGGGGCAGGGAUGUGCAAAUAAACAUUUAAUACAGGACUUUCUGGAAGAAAAUUUAUGUACAAUACCUCUUAAUGCAUUAUUGACAUUUCCUCCAUCA